CCUGCCCCUUGAGGCGUUGCAGUCUGACUGGAAGUGUUGAGCCUGUGUCAUGAGGGGCAUAGAAUGACGUGGCUAGGUCCACGCAGAGGACCCGGAACAGUGGGUACUUGGGAGUGAUCAUAAAAC
rnacentral:snoRNA from 1 species